CCCAGGAGCCAGGCAGCACCCGGCCCACCCCCUCUGCGGCACUCGGCUGCGGGAGCCUCCCGGCCCUGGCAGCCUCCUCUUCGGAGUGAUGUCAUGGGACACAUUUAGCCUGGCCUCCGGCAGGAUGUCGCCUCCCGUUACUCUUCCUACAGAUGUCUGUGCUGCUUGUGAAUAUUUUAAUUCAGAAACCUGUGCUGGAGCUGGGGCUGAUUACAGCCUAGCCAAGCGUUUUCCUGUUCUCCUCUGAGCGUGGCUUGGCCUCCCUGAGGGAUGCUAAUGUUCACCAACGUGUGCUCUGUGUCUGGCCCCCUCCUAGAAACUAGGGGUAGCUGGGAGAGGAAUAAAAAGCAGCAAGAACAGCAAUUCAGCAUGGCAAGGCGGGACUGAUCUAGAGGCUUCUGGGAAUCAAGACUAACUUAGCCACGACUCUGCUGCUGUUCAUCAGCACAGGUGAGUGGCGCCUUUCUGGCCCUGUGGGGCCCAGUGUCCACUUCAUGUCCAGUGGGCUCAGCCACUCUGGGCUCAGGUUUUCUUGCAUAUACGGCCAUGCUUCUCCGACAGUGGUAGACCCUUUAUUAUUUAUAGCUCCCCAAUACUCUCCUACAUUUUGAUAGUUUCCCACACUGUAAGUACCUCUUCCUGGCAGAAUCUAGAAAACUCACCUUUCCAGCUUCCUUUGCAGCUAGGGGUAUAUAAGUGACUUAGACGGUGACAGCGCGACACACUGUCAUGAGCAUUUGAUACAGAAGCCAGAAAGGAACAGAAGAAAGUUCUGCGUGUGGCGACUACCUUGUUGGCACUCGGGUGAUAGCAGAAGCCGUGGUUCUGGGAGUUGUUCCUGGAAGCUGAAAUCUGAGCCCGUUCUCAAACCUACCACAAAUUCAAGCCUCUCAGAGGUAAGCACAUUCUUUUUAUGCGCUUUUUUUUUUUCCUUCUUAAAAUAGUCAGUGCAGACUAUUUUGUUGUUUGCAACCCAGAACUCAGACUGCCCCACUCACUGCCCCACUGCUGAAGGUCCUUCCAGCCCUCCGGAGGGUGUGGCUGUGGGGGGGGCACAGCGUGACCCGUCUCCAUGGCCACCACUCACACACUGGGGACGGAGGCUCUGGCAGGGAGGGCUGGUCGGGCUGAGCCAGACCUUUGCUUCUCUUUAUUCUGACAACCAUAAGUCUGGAGCGCUGAACCCAAAACUCGAAACCCAGCAAAGAACGCACUCAGGAUAGCUACCCCGUCUUGAGCAAAGGCUCUGAACACAUGGUGAGGAUGGUUUGAGAGCUGCAAACAAUGUUCAACCAUGUCUUUUAUUGACUAGCAGCAUUUUCUCAGAUUCACUUAAUUGUUCAAUAUGGAGAUUUUGGAAAAUAUAGAAAAGUGUAAAAUAAAAUUACUUGUAAGCUCAUCCCCCAAUGAGAUUACAGUAAUAACCUACACAGUUCCGUGUAUUUCCUAACCAUAAUAAAAAUAACACCCAACAUUGUUUGGUGCUUCAUAUGUGCCAGGCGUUAUUUCUGAGCACGUCACGUAUGUGUUAUGGACUGAAUUGUGUGCCCCCCCCCAACCAUUCACAUGUUAGAGCUCCAGCCCUCAAUGUGACUGUGUUUAGAGACAGGGCCUUUGAAGAGGUAAUCAAAGACACAUGAGGUCCUAAGAGGGGGGCACUGAUCCCAUCG